CCACUGUAGCCAAAUAGAAUCGUUGAGAAGUUUACGGGCCGGCUGUUGUGAGAUUUCUCUCUGUUGACUAUCUGCUUACCAAACUUCUCACAUUU